CCCUUAGAUGUUCUGGGCUGCACGCGCGCUACACUGAUGCGCUCAACGAGUUUUAACCUUGCCUGGAAAGGUUGGGUAAUCUUUUUAAAACGCAUCGUGAUGGGGAUAGAUUAUUGCAAUUAUUAAUCUUCAACGAGGAAUUCCUAGUAAGCGCGAGUCAUUAGCUUGCGCUGAUUAAGUCCCUGCCCUUUGUACACACCGCCCGUCGCUUCUACCGAUUGAGUGGUCCGGUGAGCCUUUUGGAUCGCCAGCAAUGGCGAGAAAUCAAGCAAACCUUAUCACUUAGAGGAAGAACAAGUCGUAACA
rnacentral:rRNA from 1 species